AGAGAAGGUCCUGCUGUCUAUGGGCAAGCCUGAGCACAGAGGCUGCUCUGCUGGUGGGGGUGGGGUCACUUCUCUCAGCCCCAGACUGUCAGCUCUCAGGAUUAUCCACCUCGGCUCCUGGUUGCAGCAACUGCUGUGGCAGUAUGUGGAGCGAGCACCUCUGGCUCCCAACUUCUCCUGACUGAGCUGGCCACUCGCUUCCUUCUCCUCUGUGCCUCAGGCGCUUGCUGAGACUUCUCUGUUGGACUCUAGUGCUCUCUCCUGGAUGUUCUAUUCGAGGUGUGCUUAUCUCUUCAUAAUUUUGGGUCUUCUUUCUGGAGAGGCUCUGCCGCACUAAGCUCUCUACAUGGCCGAGGCACCAGACCAGAAUGCGCCCUUUCGACAGGCAGAGAGAGCCAAAGGGGAAAAGAGCUGAGUCAAGGCUGCCAAGUUCCUGCUUCCAGCCCUACCAGCCGGUCACUCGCGCCUUGCAAUGAGGAAACCAGGAGUCCUAUCUAGAGCCUUUCCAUAGUUGUGGGAAAGAAGAUGGGUAAAGUUAUUGUUAAUCUACAGAGGAAGGAAUGAUGCCAAGUUUUUCAAGGCUUCCAGAGUCACAGGAGGAGUCACUUGGUAAAUCCAGGAGCAGAAACCAGGUACCAGUUGGAAGACCACAAUGUGUUUGUUCAGACCUGUGGGCCUCCUGGAUCCUUAGCAAAAGACCACACAGACAAGUGUUGAAUGCAGCUUUUAAAAGUAUGGAAGGGACAGUAAGACAGUUCUAAGCGUGGACUAGAAUAUAAUUUAAGGUUUCUGUGACACGGUGUUAGGACUCUUUCCUAGAAUUAUGAGAGCUGAACUAACAGCUCCCAGAUAACUGAAGCAUAAUAAUUAAUCUAGAAAAGCGGCCUCUUCUUUUCUGUGGUUGAACCUAAGUGUAGUUUUUACUUUUAACUAAAACUAGGUCAAUUAAGACCAUUGGAAUUCUGUGACUGAGGAUGUGUGGUGUUUAUUGGGGAUUUAAAAUAAGAUUUUUGUUCUUUUAUAAAUUUUAAUAUAAAUAGAUUGUUUUCCCUAUAGUAUUUAGUGUUAAUUAAUGGGGCUGACACAAUUAAUGGCAUCAAGAACAUAUAAUUAUGUUUAUUAUACUAAGAAAUUAUGCAAUUACGUAGUUGUUUAAUAGGUUAAGUGAUCUUAUAGAUAUUUUUAUCGUUUUUGCAACAGCUUUAUCCUGAUUUCUUUGUGAGAAAGCUUUUAAUGUUUCAAAAAUGUUGAGACAGACUUUUGUUAAAUUAAUCGCAUGAAAAAUAGUAUAUCUUUUUCAGUAACUGGGGAUUUUCAUAAAAGCCAUCAAAGAUAUAAUAUUAGAAGAUCUGCUGUUAAGAUAGCUGUUGUCAUAAAAAACUGUUGAUGAAUUUUGAAUUUUGACUAUUAACUGUCCAUGCUAAUCAGAUAUUCAGAGAACAAUAAACAGCAUUUGCUAAAUUCAUUUUUAAGGAAGUCUCAGUUAAUAUAACUGAUUCUUUUAUAUCUCCUCCUAAAAGAAGGUAUUUCUUUGAAAUAUGCUCUUGCUCAAAGUUUAAGAUCUGUAACAAUUUAUCAUGCUCUCAGAGUCUAGUCUUAAGCAAUUUAAUAUCAUUGUGACAGGUAUUUAUUUACCAUUGAAGUAAGAAUCAUUAUUUGCUGACACUUUUUUUGACACUUUAUGAUUUAUCUUUAAGUAGUCCUAUUAGAUGUGAUAGGAAUGAAUUAACUUAAUUUUAUCAUGAUGCUCAUAACUUUAUUUCCCCCACAGAGGCAGCAAAGCAGUCUUCGUGCAUGCUACACAUCUGAUUUUUCUCUUCCCAAUGCUGUUUUUUUCAGUUCGUGCUUCAUUAGUAAAAAUAUGUGUCCUAAUUUAAAACACACUCAAUUCUGAACCCGGAAUAUUCCUUUAAGUAGAUACAUUUGAGUAGGUCUGUUCUCUUGAAAGAUAGCUUUCACCCAAAUGCAGUGUCUGUUUAGUAUUUUUGUACCAUAGAAUAAUAUGUUUUGAAUGUUGUUAUUUACCUGUGAGUUCUUUACCCUUAGUUUUUUGCUCUGUCUGCAGGUUAAGUGACUAGCCUAAGGUAAGAGCCAGAUUUGGAGCUUGGAAUCUGAUAGCCCUUAGGGUGCUUUAUUCCCUGAGCCAAUCCACACUUCUACCUCAGUAAAGGAAUCAACUGAGGGCUCAGCUUUUCCUCUGCAAGAAACCUGCUCUCUGGGACAGUAAGUCACGACCCCUGUGAAAACAUCUAAAAAACAUAUUCAACUUUGUUAUUGCUUCAUGGCCUCCUAACAGUACAGAGUGAUAGCCUCUUCGUGAGGGAAGUCUAUUGAAGGCAGGCUGCUGUGUAAUGCCAUGGAUCUGAUUUUUCUGUGGACCACUCUGUCUGUAUUAAUCAUGUCGUUAUACGGAGACCAUAAGGCAUGAAUGACAUCGCAUGUGUGAAAAGAAAAUAUGAGUUUUGUGAUUUGGCUGAAUGGAAAAGUGCUGUGUCCAGUGUCACAAUACCUUUUCUGACUUCAGCUGAAUAUUGCAGUCUAAAUCACCACACAGUUCAGGUCUUAUUUCCAUAUGGUGGCAUCUGAUACUGUUCAUUUACUGUUUGGGUGUCAGUCUUGCCUCUCUCAGAACAUACUGAUCUGUUUGUGUUGGGGGAUCAAGUCAUAUCAUUAGUAUCCCUUAGUACAUCUGCUAUGGUCUGAAUGUUUGUGUCUCCUCCCCUACAAAUUUAUAUCUGGAAAUUCUGUCCCUCAAGGUGAUAAUAUUAGGAGGUGGGGCCUUUCGGGAGGUGAUUGGGUCAUGAGGGUAGAACCCUUGUGAAUGGGAUUAACGAUCUUAUACAAUAGGCCCAAGGGAGCUCAUUCAUCCCUUCCACCACGUGAGGAUGUGGUGAGAAUGUGCUAUCUAUGAACCAGGAAGCAGACCCUCAGCAGACACUGAAUCUACCAGUCCCUUGACCUUGGACAUCCUAACCUCCAGAACUGUGAGAAAUUCCUGUUGUUAUAAGCCAGCCCUUUUAUAGUAUUUUGUGAUAGCAGCCUGAAUGGACUAAAACAAUGUCUAAGACAUUUGGCUGAUUUAAUUGUUGACUGAAAGAACUUUUUUCAAGGAUAUGGUACAUAAUUAUAUGAAUGUCCUUUAUUGCCAGCAAUACUGACUGUACAACUUAUGAAGUAUAAUAGCAUGAUGAUUAAGAGCUUGGUUUCUGGAAUCUGACUAUAACAUUUCUUCUACUUGCUAUCUUUGGAAUCUGAGACACAUUCCUUAACCUCUUUGGGUCUUAGUUUCCUCAUCUGUAAAUAAUAAUAAUAAGGGUUACUACCCAUAGUGUUGUUAUGAGUUUUAGAUGAGUUACUAUUGGUAAAGCAGAGAACAGUGUCUGGCACAUAAGAAGGGCUUGCUAUUGCUAUUUUAAGAAAUAGUUAAGCCUAUAGGGUCUUGACAUCCAGGUUGGCUAUGGUUUGUGGGUUCAGGAAACCUGAAGAUUCUAUUCACACCUGGCCUAGGAUCUCUGUGAAAAGUUUUGAGUUAUGACUCCAGAGCUGGCUCUGGAAAGUUUCCCAUUGGUCAGAUGAGUACAUGUGAGAAAUGGAAUUGAGUACGAAUAUAGCCAUUUGCAAAAAUUUUGGCCUGAGGCUAAGAUGAGUUACAUUGAUUGACUCAGAAGUCGUGGCAAUAGUCUAGCCCUAUGUACUAGAAGUUCUGUUAUUUCAGCAAGAAAUAGUUAAAGAAAAUUCAUCAGAGGAUCCUAAGGCUCAAUGAAAUUCUGAAUUCAAAAUCUCUUUCAGAAAAGUCACUUACCGUUACAGUAGGUUCCAGUUAGUUGAAGUGUAGUCAACCCGAGCUUUGGUUAAAUAAUCAUGUGGUUCUGAACCACGUGGAGCAAAUGGUAAUGGAGAAUGUGGUCACUCAUCUCCAAAGCUGGCCCACAGGGAAGUCUCCUUUCCAGCACUCACACUUGUUUGGUCUUCUCCCCAUGAAUCCAGGAUGGUCCUCCAACUUGCUUUUGCCCCCACAGAGUGCAGGGGAUGCAAUGCUCUGUGGCUUCUGAGGCUAGGUCAUAAGAAGGCUCACAGAUUUUGCCUUUCUUCCUGGAAGGCUCUGGGGGAGGCUAGUCAUGAGGCAAAAAGUCCAACUCUCUGGAAACAGCCAUGCUGUGAGGAAGUGGUGUACCAAGGCUGGGGGCAGUGGGAAUGGUCCACUUAAAAGUACAGAGAUUAAAGGGAUGCAUUGUCUAUAAAGAAUUUAAAAAGUUUACUAAAACCAACUAAAAGUUGGUCUUCCUUUUCUUAUCAGCAUGCACAAGCAAUUCUAAACAAGGCUCAGCGAUAACAUAUCCCUUCCCAUGAGUGGAUCACUCCCACUGCCUCUUUCACACACCCUGCCUCCUGCAAGCCAAUGCUGUGAAGCCCAACCUAGCCAUGUGGCAAGGGAGAUGUCUGCCCAGUCUCCAGCUGCUCCAGCCAUCCCAGCUCAGGCACCAGUCACUUGAGGGAAGAAGCCAUCUUGGAUGUCCAGCCUAGUCUGGCUUUGAGAAGACUCUAGCUCCUGCUGCCAUCUUACUGCAGUUUCAUGAAGGAUCAAAUGUCAUAGCCAUCCAGCCGAGCCUUGGCAAACUACAGACUGUAUAAGGAGUUUUUUUAGGGCACUCUGUUACGCAGCAAUUGAUAAACAAAAAAGAGAAGAGGCAUGCAAGAAGAAGAGAGCCUCUUCUCUCUUAAAAUAGCAACAAGUGUCCUUGGCUGUGUGGGGUCUCUAGAGAUCAGCUAAUCUUGAUGUUGACAGAGGCCAAAAGUACUUGAUUUCACUACCGGAUGGAAAUUAUAUCUGUGUAGAUGUUGCUAAGCAACAAGAGAUCAGAAACCUAUAAGGAGUGACCAUAUAAUGCAAAGCAUUGAGUCAGCCAACUGAGUUCCUCCUGCACUUAUUUUUUAGAACCUGCUUAUAAAAGAAGCAAUGUCCACAAUGUGUGGGGGGAGGAAAGUCUCCUGGGACCUUAAGAGGAAAGCGUACACUUCAUCAUAAUUUGCCUGCAAUGAUCAGCAAACGAAAAAGUCAAUACACAACCUGAAAAAUGGUCAUUGUUUGUGAUUUAAAAGAAGAGUAAGCUUUAGGAAUAAAUACUAACAUCACUGGGAACUCUGUCUCAUCCUCACAUCCUUUGAAAAGGCAUUUGUAAGUGUUAAAAUCCUUUCCCCUUGAAAUACCACAAAGCUGCAAAUAUUUAUUAAAACAUCCAAAUCAGUAAUGUCUUUCUGAGAUUUACAAGGAUAUUAUUAGGUGGUCAGUGAACUUGAGGGUUUUUUUGCAAGUCAGUGGGACCUAAAAACUUUUCCUUUGGCUGGUCAGAGAAGCAGGCUGAGAAAGGGGGACUCUUACUGAGGGUUUUGUGAAUAGCCUAGUAGCAGGUGCACACGAAAACACUAAUGGUCAGAAUAAAGUCUACACCCCUUAACUGUUCCUCACCAGCAAUCAUUUUCAUUAUUUCUGCUCAGUGACCUUUCAUUCCCUCCAUUUUUCUCUGAUAAUUAGAUUUCUUAAAUUAAAAAAGGUAGGGGGAGAAAUGAUAAGCUCAAUAGAAGACAAACAGGAAUUGAAUGGAUGUAUGCAUUUAUUUUUAAUAUGUUUUAGCAAAACCUGUAUGUACCUGCCCCCCCCCCGCAACACAUACACAUCAUUGGGCUUUAGAAUCCUUGCUGAGAUGUGGGUUUGAGGGAGAUAACCACGUGUGGUGAGUUGCAGAGCCUGCCCUCCGCCUGCCACCGUUGCUGUGGGGAGCGCACUCUCUGUCGAGCGCUGCUGUAGCAGACCCACCAAAUCCCAUGUAAGUGGUCAGAGCACAAAUGAGGUUGUCGGUGGGUAGUCCUACCCUAUUCAUGAGCUCUUUCAGAACAAUUUUCAUUACUUUUUUUAAAUACUGUUUUUGGCAAACACUUGAUACUUGAAAUAAAAAAUGCAUGAGUCACCUACUGGGAUAGGCACAGUGUGUGGUUCAUUGAAUUUAGCUAAAUUGUGAGUCAUCCAUCAAUAGUCCUCUUGGUGAACAUACUUGUAAUAAUUUCACACAUUACAAACAAAAAUAGGUAUGAUUUUCAAGAUUCUUGAAGCUGUUUCCCUUGGGGAUUCUUUGGAUUGUGUUUAGAGUUUUUUGUGUUGCUAGGUGGUGAGAAACUUGUCAGCUUUGUUUUCAGAUGGAUCCAAGGCUUGUGUCUCUGUCACGUGAUAAAAGAACUUUGGUUUGGGAGGCUCAGGGGCAGAGUAUGAAGCUGAGCGUCAUGAAGUGGGGGGAAACAGGAAUUAGCGAUUAAUAUUUGUCCUUGUCAGAUCAUUGACUUUUAAGAUUGAUUUUGGCAUCUGAAAAAUGUUUGGCUCCACUCUCAGGACAGAGUCAGAGCAGUAAGAAUAUGCACCUGUGUCCCCCACCCCCUUUUUUCUGAUAGGAGAGAGCUGAGCAGGGUGGUUAUGUGUCUGUGCACUACUGCCCUCUGUUGGAUGGCACUAGAAUUUCUCUGUAUCCACACCCCAGCUGAAUGAGCGCUCCUGGUUGGCUGGCAGGUGACCCAGGCAAAUAUGUCAUUAUUGGACUAAGACCAAUUAAAAAAAAAUAGUUGGCCUGUAUAAACUAAGAGAGACCUCUCUCUGGUGGAGAAAUAAGAGUGUAGACUUUCUGACCUGUAGGGUUCUUCUAUUCUGGUGGCUGCCGGGCAAGAGGCUGGCAUCUGCUGCUGAAUGACAGGACAGACUUUGUGAUUAAACUGCUAGAUCUUUGGCUUUUCAGGAAGUGAAAAUAAUCACAAGAUAAAGUAUCCUUACUUGCAUUUUUCCCCUUUCAUAAGUGCAAUAGGGCAUAAAAGGGCUUUGGCUUUUGGCUACAAUCAGAGGUGAAAGUUUUUAUAUGGAUAUAAGAAGAGAAGUUAAAGCUCUUUGCAAACUAUGGCUAAAGUGCCAUGUCAGUAAGACGUAUACAGUGACCCAGGACACUGGCUGGGAAGUUUUCUUUGUUUUGGCAGAUUCCUCUGCCCUCCUUCACCUUCUCCAAGGUAGCGAGAGUAAGUGUCCAGGCAUGAGCCUUGGGGAUACUGUCCUGCCACUACUGGCUGAGUAACUUGGGAAAGUUGUCUGACUCUUGGGCCACAUUUUUUCUUUUGUGUAAAAUGAGGCAUUUGAAAUAGAUGCUAUCUCAGAGUCGCUUCAUUUCUGAGAUGCAAUAAAUUAUCUUUUCUUCCUAGAUGAUAAUGUAAGCACAAAGAACAAAACUAUUUAAAGACCACACACAUACCCUCUCAAACAAAUCACCUCCCUUUGGGAAAGCAACAUGUUCACUGUGAUAAUUCAGCAUCAGGACCUGAGGUGGUGGGAACAGCUUUGGCUGGUUUGCUGCUCUCCAAGGAGCUCCUGUGCCGGCCGCAUUGGACAAGCAUCUCUGCCCUGCGGCGCAGAGUCUCCAGGACCAGCAGAUGGCGGACUUGCACAGUCCACACAUUUUCCAGGUUCUCAAGGUAAAUGGUACUGAUUAACAUCCAGAAAUAACACCCACUGAUGUUUGAACAAAUUGCAGCGUUUUCCAGGCCACUAAAACCAUGGCACUUUGUGAGCUGGAACAUUUGCUAAUAUUUAAAAUGGUUAGAAAGAUUGUUAAUCUAUAAUACUUUCGAGUGUUAACAGCCUCUUUCACCCACGCAUCAGAAACCCUUAAUAAAUUGGCCUUCUUUUUUUUCAGGUGGGGAAAUUAGGGCAGAGGGUCAAUUGGCUAAGAUCACAGCAGAACUAGUCCAAAUAAUUCAGACUAUACACCUUGGUGAUCUUUUAGAAUUGUCGUUCCUCUUGCCCUUCCUUUCUUUAAUGCCCACUUCUCUUGGUUGUGGAGGGGAAUGUGUGUGUUGACUGGGGAUAUGGAAGAGGAAUUGACGUCUUCUGCACUUUGGGGCAUUGCCACCUGCCAUGGUCAUCAAAGCUCCUGAUCGCCACAACCUGUAUUCAGAAUACCUGUGAUAAUAAGAACUGGCAUUUAUUGAUUACUUACUUUGAGCCAGGCAUUGUUCUAAGCAUUUCUCACACACUAAUCAUUUAAUCCUUCCAGCAGCCCAUAAAGGAGGCAGAGAGAGUAAGUAACUUACCUAGAAUAACAGAUCUUUGUAUUUUUCUAGGCUCUAAAAGCAGCAAUGACUUCAAUCUAUUUUUUAGUGGUAAUCACUCUUUCACCCCAGAUAUUUUCCAGCUAACAGAUCAUUGACUGAUUUUUAAUAUUUAAAUUGAGAAAUUUAUUGGAGCUUUGGUGAUAAUCAUGUAAGUAAGCCCUGGUUAUAGUAGCUUGUAAUGCUAUUAUUAGUGUUCAAGAUUUCCUUUCACAACCUUGUGCUUAGAAGGAAUGAUUCACUAGAAAUGGAAAUAAGAUGUAAAUGAAAUGGGGAAGCUUGGCAAUUUAAUCACUCAAGUAAUACAUAUUUUCAAAGUGCUCACUUAAUCCACUAGUCACAAGGCGGCAUUAGAGAUGUGUUGGGGGGUUUCACUCCAACAACAUUUAUUUAUUUCAAAAACAUACAUAGUGGUUACUGCAUACCAGGCACAAAUAUUAGUUCACUUAAUUCUCCUCACAACUAUGAUGAGCCCCUUUUACAGAUGAGGAAACCAAGGUUCAGAGAGGUAAGAAACAUAGCUAGUAAGUGGCAGAUCAAGAUUUAAACCAGCCCCUAGCUUCUGAUCCAUGCUCAUAACUACGAGGCUGUGCUACCCCUAUCAAUAGAAAUCAGGUAUGCUGGCGGGACGUACAGUAAUUUAACCAGAGUCAAAGACAGAAACAAACAGUUAUAGUGUUGAUUUCCUCCUAACAACAAUCCUUAUAUAGCAAAUAAUUUCUUUCUUUCCCUCUCUCUCUCUCUUUUUAUUUUUUGAGACAGCGUCUCACUCCAUCACCUAGGCUAGAGUGCAGUGGCACGAUCUUGGCUCACUUCAGCCUCCACCUCCUGGGUUCAAGCGAUUCUCAUGCCUCAGCCUCCUGAGUAGCUGGGACCACAGGUGCAUGCCACCAUGCCUGGCUAAUUUUUGUAUUUUUAGUAGAGACGGGGUUUCGCUAUGUUGGCCAGGCUGGUCUUGAACUCCUGGCCUCAAGUGAUCCACCUGCCUUGGCCUCCCAAAGUGCUGGGAUUACAGGUGUGAGCCACUGUGCCUGGCCAUUAUAUAGCAAAUAAUUUCUAAAAUAAAAAGUGAGACUAAAAAUAGCUAAGUUAGCUACUGGCCUUGAUAAAGGAGAAUAGGAAUUAUAAAGAACAGGAAACUGUAGGGAGACCUACAGAUGUUUUGUUUGUUUGUUUUUGAGACAGAGUCUCACUCUGUCUCCCAGGCUGGAGUGCAGUGGCAUGAUCUCAGCUCACUGCAACAUCUGCCUCCCAGAUUCAAGUGAUUCUCAUGUCUCAACCUCUGAGUAGCUGAGACUAUAGGCGUGUGUCACCAUACCCGGCUAAUUUUUGUAUUUUUAGUAGAGAUGGGUUUUCAUCAUGUUGGCCAGGCUGGUCUCAAACUCCUGGCCUCAAGUUUUCUGCCUGCCUCAGCCUCCCAAAGUGCUGGGAUUACAGGGGUGAACCACUGCACCUGGCCUGUUUUUUAAAAUGGGUAGUGAUGUUUGUGAUACUUAGAACAAUAAUUAGUUCAUCAUUUUUACUGAAGACUAAGCAAAAGGAAGUUGUGUGAUAUCACAGUUGUGUGUGAGUGAACAUCUGUUGUUUUUCUCCUUCCCCUUUCUGUGAUGAUGUCGUCCUUCACGGCAUGUUUCCUAGGAGAAAAACCUUCUCCAUUUAUAAGGUGCAUGGAAUCCGCUGGGGAUCUUGUUGAACUCUGGAUUCUGAUUUGGUGGGUCUGGGAUGCAGCUCCAGAUUCUGCAUUUCUAACCAGCUACUAAUGCUGCUGGUGUGCGGCCUGCUGGGAGUGGCAGGACUCCUUACCUUCCUCAUCCUGCUUGGGUGUGGGGUUGCCAGAGACAGUACCUUCCACAUCACAUUCCUUCUACCUUCUGCAUAGGAGUGGUUGUCAUGUGAUCCAGAUUUGACUAGAUAUGAUUCUUAUCUGGAAUUUGGUUCUCCUGCUCCCAACUCAUAUACCUAGGAGAAGCCUGGCUUCAGGAGGAGGCAAGGAAGCCAAUUCACUGAGAGCUGCAGAAAGAGGAAAGGAGAAGGGGGAGAGAGAACAAGGAUGACUGGAUGAUGUGCUUUGAGUUCUGGAGGCCAGCUCUAUCCAGGAACACAAGCCAAUAAAGUCCCUUUAUGCUUAAGCUAAUUUGUAUAGUUUCUGUUACUUGCAAUUAAAAGGGUUCUGCCUAAUACGGAAGUAAUUUAGAUUUGAUAUAAAGGAGAAUUCUUUACUGUAACAGGAGGGCGCUUUGCAACUCUUGCUAAAGACCAUUGGGAACAGAACAGAUACUGAGGUUAUUUUAGGGAGACUUGCAAGAAUAAUAUUAAAAUAUUUAAUAAUUAGCAUGGCAUGGAUGCUGACCAGUCAAAACAGACACCAGCCACAGUGACAUUCUGGGAACGCCAGCCUUGGUCACCUGGAUGCCAUUUGUAGUAGGUACAGGAUCUACAGUAUUUUUGUGUUGUGAGUUAUAUGCCUGCAUU
rnacentral:lncRNA from 10 species